AUUGAACGCUGGCGGCAGGCCUAACACAUGCAAGUCGAACGAGUGGCGGACGGGUGAGUCAUGUCUGGGAAACUGCCUGAUGGAGGGGGAUAACUUCUGGAACUGGUAGCUAAUACCGCAUACCAUCAUAUCUUCCCUGAUGGGUUUAGCUAGUUGGUGGGGUAACGGCUCACCAAGGCGACGAUCCCUAGCUGGUCUGAGAGGAUGACCAGCCACACUGGAACUGGGACACGGUCCAGAGUCCUACGGGAGGCAGCAGUGGGGAAUAUUGCACAAUGGGCGCAAGCCUGAUGCAGCCAUGCCGCGUGUAUGAAGAAGGCCUUCGGGUUGUAAAGUACUUUCAGCGGGGAGGCGUUACCCGCAGAAGAAGCACCGGCUAACUCCGUGCCAGCAGCCGCGGUAAUUC
rnacentral:rRNA from 1 species